rnacentral:sRNA from 1 species
GUAUCUGAAGCCUGACGAGGAUGAGAACCUCCGGGGGCAAGAGGUUCGACUUGAGCGAAGCGAGAGAACGUUGCGUCAGCAACGGCCCGCAGUGGCAAGUCAUCCUCUGUCACCGGCAG